rnacentral:lncRNA from 1 species
CUCAAUUCCAUGGCUGUGAGCACAAAGGCCAAAUGAAGUGCCAACUUAGGCAACUGUCUGAUUAACCUAAUCCAUCUACACUGAGUCAGGAGAAUUCAGACUUUUUUGUUGCCUACCAGAAGCUUUUAGUCACGCUAGAUUAUUUCAACUAUCCUAUUUUCUACUUAUUUAUUCUUAGGACAGCCAUUUUCUAAUUUUCUGUGUUGAUGUGAUGGAUCUGUCCAAGGCUCUACUGCAAGGCCAAACCUUGUGACCAAACCAUAGCAUCUUGACAGAUUCAAUUAGGUAAAGCAUCUUGGUUGAGUCCCCACAGCUGGUUGAUUGUCAACUGAGCCAACACGACAACCAGGGUUUCUAACUCUCAGAAAUAUCCCAGUGCCGGCCAGGCAUGGUGGCUCACGCCUGUAAUCCCAGCACUCUGGGAGGCCAAGGCAGGUGGAUCGCCUGAGGUCGGGAGUUCGAGACCAGUCCAGCCAAUAUGGUGAAACCCCAUCUCUACUAAAAAUACAAAAAUUAGCUGGGUGUGGUGGUGGGCACCUGUAAUCUCAGUUACUCUGGGCACCUGUAAUCUCAGUUACUCAGGAGGCUGAGGCAGGAGAAUCGCCUGAACCCAGGAGGUGGAGGUUGUGGUGCGCCGAGUUUGUGCCAUUGCACUCCAACCUGGGUAACAGGAGUGAAACUCUGUCUCAAAAAGAAAGAAAGGAGAAAGAGAGAGAGGAAGGAAGGAAGGAGGGAGGGAGAGAAGAAGAAGGAAGGAAGGAAGGAAGGAAGGAAGGAAGGAAGGAAGGAAGGAAGAUCCCAGUGCCAUCUGAUUUGGUUCUCCUUGUGAUUUUGUGAGAAAAAAGUGAUAUAAUGCCUCUGAGGACCAGCCCACACAGUGACUGGAGUAGGUGGUCAAACAAUGAGAAUCUUUAGUCUAAAGUCAACAAGCAAGUUCCAUAUUACUGGCAUAAACGAUUAACUUGGACAAGAAUCCAAGAUAGAAAAAUAAUUAUGAAUAAGUCUGCGCCCAGGUUUAUUUGAACUUGUUGGGUUCAUUGAGUCUGGCACUGCAUACCAAAAUUAUGAUCAACAACUCAGGAAAAUACUCAACUUGAAAGAGAUUAGUGAAUGUGGACUCGAAAGGUCUAAGACAGAGAAAGAAGUUGCUGUAGAACACUUUUGCAAAACAGUGGUCUCCAAAGAGCCAUGAAACAGCUUGCUGAUUUUUGAAUUUCUGGGUUUAUUACAAAUGACUACAUAAAAGCCGUGUGGUAAGAAACGAACUUCUGGUAACAGAUGGUGGAAAAUCACCAGUAAGACCCAAACCUAACAGAGACUGCUUCUGGAGCCAUGGUUCUCACUAAGGGUUAUUAGCAUCAUUCUUUGAUGAUGGGCAUUGAGGCAUCAGAACUCAUGGAUAUCACAGUUCCUGUGUGGAGAGGAAGCUUCAGAUGGUGCUCUUGCACAGACGGGACUGCCAUUCCCAUUUUAGUGGAUCUCUUAAAAGUUCGAAUGGCUCCUCUAAUGCCUGAUGUGAAUGGAACCUUUCUCUCUGCUUCAGUCAAGAAUCUGGUGACAAAGAAGCUUCAUCCUUUCAAUCUUACAAUUUCAAUCUCCUAUCUCAAGAAAGCUCAUUUCUAUGUAUUACCAGUGCAUCCUCCACAUGCUCUUCUGCAGUUGUUCCUUCUGCGGGAAAUGAUCUCUCCUUUUGUCGAGGCUUGGUGAAAUCCUUUGAAAUUCUGUUGAUUCUGUAAGAGCCAACACAAAUACCAACUGCCCUGAAUACUUUCUGGCUAAACUGCCACAAUGAACGAGGAUUCCUCACCCAUGUCCCUCCCUUUCCCUUCCUUUCUUUUUAUAAUGGUAUGCUUAUUGUUUUUUAAUGUAACAUUUUUCUUACAAAAGGAAUACACAUUCAGUGUUAAAAUGGAAAUGUAGAAAAGUCUUCAGAAGAAAAUAAAAAUCACCUGCAAAUCCAUUUCCUGAAGUAAUUAUUUUUGCUAAUGUUUUAUUACAAUAUAGCUCAUCCUCUUUCGCUGCCUCUUCCUCUUCUCUCUCCCUUCCUCCCUCCUUCCUGUCCUUCCUCUGUCUCUCCUUCCCUUUUUCUCUCUCUCUCUGGUUGCAGCAUCUCUGUUUUUUCUCUGUUUUUUUUUUUAAUCAAAUGUAUCGAGGUGUGACUUACAUUCAAUAAAAUGCACAGUUAGAUGAAUUUUGAAAAAUGUCAUAAUUCAUAUUACCAACAUCUCAAUCAAGAUAUAUAAUGCCUCCAUCACCCCAAAAAGGGACGGAUGAUGGACUCACUCAUGCUCCUCUGAAAAAAACCCUUUCCCAGCUCUCUGCC